AUUGAACGCUGGCGGCAGGCCUAACACAUGCAAGUCGAACGAGUGGCGGACGGGUGAGUAAUGUCUGGGAAACUGCCUGAUGGAGGGGGAUAACUACUGGAAACGGUAGCUAAUACCGCAUACCAUCAGAUGUGCCCAGAUGGGAUUAGCUAGUUGGUGGGGUAACGGCUCACCAAGGCGACGAUCCCUAGCUGGUCUGAGAGGAUGGCCUGCCACACUGGAACGGGGAAACGGUCCAGACGCCAACGGGAGGCAGCAGUGGGGAAUAUGGCACGAUGGGCGGAAGCCUGAUGCAGCAAGGCCGCGUGUAUGAAGAAGGCCUUCGGGUUGUAAAGUACUGUCAGCGGGGAGGCGUUACCCGCAGAAGAAGCACCGGCUAACUCCGUGCCAGCAGCGCGGUAAUAC
rnacentral:rRNA from 1 species